rnacentral:rRNA from 1 species
AUGGCUCAGGAUGAACGCUGGCGGCGUGCUUAACACAUGCAAGUCGAACGGAGCUUUAAAGUGGAAGUUUUCGGAUGGAAGCUUUAAAACUUAGUGGCGAACGGGUGAGUAACGCGUGAGGAACCUGCCUUUCAGUGGGGGACAACAGUUGGAAACGACUGCUAAUACCGCAUAAUGUAGCGAGACCGCAUGAUCUUGCUACCAAAGCUUUAUGUGCUGAAAGAUGGCCUCGCGUCUGAUUAGCUAGUUGGUGAGGUAACGGCUCACCAAGGCGACGAUCAGUAGCCGGCCUGAGAGGGUGAACGGUCACAUUGGGACUGAGACACGGCCCAAACUCCUACGGGAGGCAGCAGUGGGGAAUAUUGCACAAUGGGGGAAACCCUGAUGCAGCGACGCCGCGUGAGUGAAGAAGUAUUUCGGUAUGUAAAGCUCUAUCAGCAGGGAAGAAAAUGACGGUACCUGACUAAGAAGCCCCGGCUAACUACGUG